rnacentral:rRNA from 1 species
AAAUUUUCUUAAGGAACUCGGCAAAAUCCCAAUGGCCCACCAGGGCAUAUUGGAACACGGGCCUCGACUGUUUACCAAAAACAUAGCCCUCGGCCAAUAUGAAAAUAGAUGUAUAGAGGGUGAUGCCUGCCCAAUGGUUGUAUCUAAAAGCAGUUGAUAAAAGUCGACCUCGUAAGGACAAUUGAAUGGCCGCGGUAACACUGACCGUGAUAAUGUAGCGUAAUCAAUAGCCAAUUAAUUGUUGGCCAGUAUGAAUGGCGCCACGAAGGCCCCACUGUCUUAAGGAAAUUCCCAGUGAAAUUGAAUUCGUAGUGAAGAUGCUACGUCCAAUUUGUUAGACGAAAAGACCCCGUUGAGCUUUACUGGGGCACUUACACGGCCCUCGGCCUUCCCGUGCCCGGGAACCGGCCGAAUUUAAAUGGGUGGUUUAGACUAUGUGGCAGCCCCCCGCCGGGGCAGAUGAAACCCCACUCCCCCAUGUCAAAGGGGCUAACCCCCCCCUUGGGGGGGACAGUGUAAGUAGGACAGUUUGGUUGGGGCGACCGCCUUUUAAAGAGUAACGAAAGUGCGCUUAAGGUGCGCAAUUAAUGACUGAAGCCUGACUGCGAGGGGGAUACCCCGAGCAGACACCCCCCAAGCCCGCCCGAGGGCGGCGGUGGGGUGGGCCAUAGUGACCCGUU